rnacentral:rRNA from 1 species
UACAGAGGUCUCAAGCGUUGUUCGGAUUCAUUGGGCGUAAAGGGUGCGUAGGCGGCGCGGUAAGUCGGGUGUGAAAUCCCGGAGCUUAACUCGGAAACUGCAUUCGAUACUGCCGUGCUUGAGGACUGGAGAGGAGACUGGAAUUUACGGUGUAGCGGUGAAAUGCGUAGAUAUCGUAAGGAAGACCAGUGGCGAAGGCGGGUCUCUGGACAGUUCCUGACGCUGAGGCACGAAGGUCAGGGGAGCAAACGGG